GAGUUUGAUCCUGGCUCAGAUUGAACGCUGGCGGCAUGCCUUACACAUGCAAGUCGAACGGCAGCACGGGAGCUUGCUCUUGGUGGCGAGUGGCGAACGGGUGAGUAAUGCAUCGGAACGUAUCCUGGAGUGGGGGAUAACGUAGCGAAAGUUACGCUAAUACCGCAUAUUCUGUGAGCAGGAAAGCGGGGGACCUUCGGGCCUCGCGCUCUUGGAGCGGCCGAUGUCGGAUUAGCUAGUUGGUGAGGUAAAGGCUCACCAAGGCGACGAUCCGUAGCAGGUCUGAGAGGAUGAUCUGCCACACUGGAACUGAGACACGGUCCAGACUCCUACGGGAGGCAGCAGUGGGAAUUUUGGACAAUGGGGGCAACCCUGAUCCAGCCAUGCCGCGUGAGUGAAGAAGGCCUCGG
rnacentral:rRNA from 1 species